rnacentral:lncRNA from 1 species
UUUUUUUUUUGUUGUUGUUGUUGUUGCUAUUUCUUGGGCCAAUCCCGAGGCAUAUGGAGGUUCCCAGGCUAGGGGUCCAAUUGGAGCUGUAGCCACCGGCCUACGCCAGAGCCACAGCAACGUGGGAUCCGAGCCGCAUCUGCAACCUACACCACAGCUCACGGCAAUGCUGGAUCGUUAACCCACUGAGCAAGGGCAGUGAUUUAAGGAUCCGGGGUUGCUUUGAGCCGUGGUGUAUGUAGGUCACAGACAUGGCUUAGAUCUGGCAUUGCUGUGGCUGUGGUGUAGGCCAACAGCUACAGCUCCAAUCUGACCCCUAGCCUGGGAACUUCCAUAUGCUGGGGUAUGGCCCUAAAGAAACAAAAAUAAAAUAAAAGGACUGCAGCAUUAUAAGAUAUAAUUCACAAACUCCAAAGAUCUAUAAUAUGAGGCAAUUAGUCAUUUUACCCCAUAUAAGGGGGAAGAAAGGUUACACAGCUAUUAAGCGGCAAAGCCAGAAUUCAAACCAAGUUUAUCUGAAUCCAAAAGCUAUACUUAUUCCACUGAUACUUACUGAGGGAGUACUACAUGUCAGGCACUGGGGUAUGUCCAGAGAAAGAGUAUAUUAAUUAACAACAUGUCAGGGAUAGAAGUUCCCAUCAUGGCUCAGCAGUUAGCAAAUCUGACUAGCAUCCAUGAGGACUUGGGUUCAAUCCCAGGUCUCGCUCAGUGGGUUAAGGAUCUGCCGUUGCCAAGAGCUGUGGUGUAGCUUGCAGAUGAGGCUUGGAUCCCAAGUUGCUGUGGUUGUGGUGCAGGCCGAAGGUUGUAGCUCUGAUUGGACCCCUAGCCUGGGAACCUCCAUAUGCCGCAGGUGUGGCGACAAAAAGACCAAAAAAAAAAAAAAAGAAGAAGAAUACACCAGGGAUAUGAAGAAAUUUAGCAGGUUAAGCGGAAUUCCAAGUGCCAGGGGUGAGAGGACUAUUUUAUACUGGAUGAUCAAGGAAGGCUUCUCAGAGGAAACUACAUUUGAACAAAUAUUUGAGAGAAAAAAAGGAAGUGAGCCAUAAGCAACGUGAAGAAGAGCACUCCAAGCAGAGGAAGUAACAGGGGCAGAGACUCCGAGGCAGGAACAGCAAGGAGGCCCAUGAGGCCAUAGGGAAACGAGGGUGGGGUGUAGAGUGUGGAGGUGGAUGAUAUAAGGCCUUCCUGGUCAUUAUCAGCAAUUUCAGAUUGUAUUCUGAAUAAAAAAAGGAAGCCACAGAAAGAAUGAGUGAAGUGACAUUUGACUGCUAUUUUGAAUCUAAAUAAUGAGUUGAGAAAAGACGGUGAGGGCACAGGACAAGGCAGGGAAACCAGUUAGGAAGCUGUUGAUAUAAUGCAGAUGACAGAUGAUGAUUUACAUCAGGUAAUGAUGCAGAAGAGCAGACAAUUGGAUUCAGUUUUGUUGUUGUUUUUGGCCCUGCAGCAUG